UUUUUCAUCAGCGAUUCAGUUCAAACAAAAUUCACUCACUCACUCCAAUUUU
rnacentral:tRNA from 1 species